UAUAAAAAAGAAGAUGUGUUAUGAUUGCCAAUGAGACAACUGUCCACAAGAGACCAAAAUGACACAGACAUUAACAACUAUAGGUCACCGUACGGCCUUCAACAAUGAGCAAGGCCCAUACCGCAUAGCCAGCUAUAAAAGGCCCUGAUAUGACAAUGUAAAACAAUUCAAACGAGAAAACAAACGGCCUCAUUUAAAUAAAAAAAAUGAACGAAAAACAAAUAUUUAACACAAAAACGAACG
rnacentral:lncRNA from 1 species